AGUAAUGUUUAAGUAUAAUGCUCAAAUUAUAUUCAAAUAGAUCAAGUAAUGAUUAAAAUUAAAAAAAAAACGAGUACACUACAACCGAAACAUUGCUUAUCAGCUUUUACUGCAAAGCAGACUUCAAUCUCAGCAUUUUCAGUAGUCUUUCUAUUAUUCGAAGGGGUUGUUGUCGCAAGUAAAAUACUGAAUAGCGUCGAAAUGUGUAUAGUGUUAUCAGUCGUUCUACUCGCAUUUCUUGCAUCAAUUGGUUAUGUUGGCUAUGUAGCUUACAAAAAAGGGAUCAAUAUAACAGAAGUUCGCAUUAACAGCAUAGAUGAUGUGAAACGUCUGCUGAUCCCAUCAAGAGCGGAUCGACCAUUAAAGUAUCUUCAAAAAGCGGCUUGAGCUCAAUAAAACUUUAUAAUCACAUUUCACAACGCAACCAUUAUCUAAAAACUUACGUUUAGCGGGCGUGCUUGUAGCACCUAAUGAAGUGUUCCCGCCGAAAAAUGACAUUUCGCCAGACUGCAACUUUCUUAUCACGUCUUUAUAAUUUCACAAUUUUCACAAUGCAGUUAUUUAUAAUUUUGUAUUGCACAAAAUUUCGUUAUUAGCCAAGAAGUUUAUUUUUUACAUUUAUUUUUCUAUUUUAUCUUCAACUUUAUAUUGGCGCUUCCGCAAGGAAAUACAAAGUAUCAUUUGUCGAUCAGAA